CUCCUCCUCCUCCCGCCCAGCGGCGGCGGCCGCCGCGCUCCCGCCUCAGCUGAAAUGGCGGCUGAGGGGGGGGCCGCCCGCCCCUCAGGGCCGCCGCCGCCGGCGAGCGGAAAGCCCGCAGCGGGGGGAGAGACCCCGGCCCCCCUGGAAGCGGUUUUAUCCCCUUCCCCACCACCACCUCGGCCGCGCCAUGCCGCCUCAGGCCUCACUGCGGUGGAAAAUCAAAAUCCUCGGUGCAGGCCCCGGUGUUCAGCAGCUUAAAACGCUGUCCCGCGAAAAAGGAAAGAGGAAAGACGUUUCCAGCGAACGAAUAGAAGAGCUGGCGCGAAGAGGAGGAAACACAGAGAGCACGGACAAAGCAAGGUCGGAUUUAUGAACAAAGACGUGAGGAUGAGAGGAAAGAGGAGAACAGAGGACUGUGUGACUAGAGAAUUCCCAUCCCAUAAAGCUUUAGACUGCAUCCGCACCUAAUGUUACCGACUGAGCUGUGUGGGUCAUACUUCAGCUGUCCCUUCUCCCUAACACCUAAAGAGAGAUCAUGCAACGAUCCAUUUCUUCUUGCUGAAGGAAAGCCACAAACCACCCUUAGGAGCGGAGGACUGCCCUGCUUACCUCUUCCAGCCAUAGCAAGAGAUGAGAAGCAAUACUUACAGAAAGGCUUGCAGCAGUAAUUCUAUUCUACAGCAUUUUAAAGAGGAGCCAAAUGUUUGGUGACCCACAGUCAUCCUAGGGUGACACCAACGUAGCUGCAUUGCAUCCUCCAGCCCACCAAAACACGUUCAUGCCAAGCAACGUCUCAGCACCUUCUCCUCACUAGCUAGAAGGUUAAAUGCAUUUUCAGAGCUGCCCCCUGGCCCAUCAACAGCAGGAAACCCAGCACACCACACAUGGAGAGAGUUUUCCUAACAGCCUUCCAAAGCACCCUGGCUCCUACUGUUCCUGCAGGUGCUGUAGGGUUGGGAUCACCCUGCUGCUGCUACCAGUGCCUAAAGUUACACCUUUUCUACCUAGAAGCAGGAGUUUGGUGCAAGAGGGAUUGCACUGGACAGAUUGCAAAGAAGAUCUCAAGAACACUGGUCUGGCUCAAGCUGAGGAGUUGCCUGCAGCACUACAGUCAUCCUGAACAUGCCACGUCUGCAAAUGCGGCCUUCCAUGUCCUCUUCUCCAGAGGUGCUCAGUGCACAGCUCCUGCUCUGCCGACACACACCGUUUCUGGAAGGCAGCAGGAAGAUACAUCUGCUGUGGAAAGGUCUUCUGAUACGCUGCAGAAAUGGCGCUGGGACCUGCAUCUGUGGAGGCCUGCUGCUUUAGCAUCUCCCCUCUGAAUCUAACACAGGUAAUAAGAGAUCUACUGCUUUUUCCUGUUGGUGCCAGUGAGUGGUCACCUGGCGAGCUGCAAAGAGACCUCAGUGGAGAGUAUCCGAAGCCGGAAGUUUUAUCUUUGUAAAAGACCUCUCAGCCCCGGGUGCUUACUCGGCUCUGAAUGCGCCUGUCUUCUGACCACGGAACAACCGUUUCUUCAAAUCAGAUUUGGAAAAAUGUCUCGCAAAGGUGAAAUCACUGUAAACAACUGCUCAGUGAAGCUUUUUGCUGCUACAGGGAUUGCGAGCGAGUCGCUUCAAACACGCUGGAGGCAUAGCAGACUGCGCACGGGGCAGAGCACCUCCCGGAUUUAAUCCAGGUCUGUGGAGAGAAAGAAAGCUGCACAAGGAGCAAGACAUUCAAGGUCAACACACGCUACUAACACCAAAAAUUGGUUUAGGUUCUCAGUGCUGGCAGUCAGUGUUGCAAGCACAUUGUGUGGAAGAAGGGCGCGAGGAUCGGAGAAUGAGGUAGACAGACAUGUCAGUCAUUAUAUCUGCUAAUGCACUAAUUGGCAGUGUCACCUCUUUUCAGAGAUGACUAAUACUAAAAAUUGCUGAAUAGUUUUCAGUGGAUUACUUUGCACUACUGAAUUGGGAUUUCUAGAACACUAUGUUUUAAUGGCAGACCUUAUUUUCUUGCACUGUUCCUGAAGCCCUAAGGCAAGUUGGAGCCCACACCCAAAAGAAGAUUGGAACCGGAGUUCUUUUGCAAACCAAUUAAAUUUUAAUUCUUUAAUCAUAGGAAUAAAUCAAUAAGAAUAUGUUGAUUACAAUUAAAUAGCAACUUAAGGUAAGAAGACGACAGGUGCCUCGUUUGCAAUGGCCAGUACCAAGAGUGAGCUGUAAUACGUGCUUGAGUACUCUGCGAUGUGGCUGUUAUUAGCUGAACUUGUGGUUUUUGCUCCUGUUGGUAUUAAUAGGCAGCUAGCUUGGGUGACACAUGCCAGAACACUUCAGACUCUUACAGCUUCUCUAUUUUUAAGCUGGUUCUACUAGUUUUUUUUUUCCAUCAAGGCUGUCAUAAGCUCCGUCAGCACUGAGCAGCAGGAUGCUGCAGCUCCCACGGCCACCAUUGCUCCUGCAGCCCCAGUCCUCAGCACUUCCACGUCCCCGGCAAGGGUGGGCCUUGUGCCUGCCUGGAAGCUGAAGCUCUCUGUGGAGUUAGUAAAAAUACAACAUA